GCCAGCAUCUAGAAGGCCCUGGUUUGAUCUCUGGUGAUAGUCUUGACUCUACUUCUACAAAGGUACCUUGGUAUAGAAUCUUGUGAGUGAUGAAUGUCACAUCAUCACUUGGCAGAGCAGAGAAAAGAAUGUAAAUGCUCUCAGCUAGUUCAUUCCAGCCACAUUAUAACCUCGCAUCUACUGAUCAGUCUAGAGCGCUCCUGAUUUAGUCCCCAAGUACCCUACUUCUUAAUCCUGAUACAAAAGGGAUUUCAGAUUGAAGCCCAGAUGUUUAUGGGACAUUUGCAUCAUACCAUCUUCUUGUGUGAAUUAUCUCAAAAUUCAGGAAGAAGAUCAGGUAAGUUUGUUAUCAUCUUUCCAUGGAGUAAUCAAUGCAGGGAGAUAGUAUAAAGGAAGCUUUUAUUAUAAUAUUCUUAUUCUGGGACCAUUAAGGAAUGCCAAUCAGUUAUUAAUUAAUACUUCUAUAGUCUUCUGCAUUACUUAAAAGAGACUUGCAUAUUCAGGACUAAGAUUUGCAUAUGUACAUGAUUUAAAGACGAGCAGAGUACAUCUUUUUUGGUUUAUUUGUGUCUCAUUUCCGUGAUGCCUAGAAUCUGUUGAACCUAAGGUUGUCAGACUCAACAGGGAGACAUGUCUUUUGUAAACAGACACACAGCCAUUCUUUCAGAACAGCUUCAGCUUCUCAAAUGAAGGGAAACAACGCCAGACUCCACUUCCUAAUCCCGGGUAUUUCUAAUUAGCUGUAGAAUUCUUUCCACUCCAAAUGGCUCCAGGCACUCAACUACAACAGCAAUCCAAACUGGUUUUUCAUUUUUGUGAAGUCAUCUCUGUUGUGUUCUUGUUAUGUGUUGUGUGAACCUCUGCCCAGCUGUUUGCCAGAAAUGGUUAAGUGCUGCUUGUUACUUUUGGGGUGGUUCAUACCUGAGGCAAAAUCAAGGAAAGAAACAUGAAAUUUCUUGUACUACUUCAGGUUAAUUAGCUGUGUGUCGAGGCUUAAGUGUUCAGCUUUGGGGUGGUUCUUCUCUUCCUAUCCAGAUUUAUGUAACUUGAGCAGAAGUUAUGAUAUUGUUAGUGGCAUUUUUGGAUAUAUACUUCUAUGAAUAUACAUAGAUGAAUGUGAUUUUAGUUUAUGACUUUUUUCUUUUUUUAUAUAUAACAGAGCAGACAAGAAGGAGACCAGAGUCAGCAAAAUCACACAUAGUUGAGAAAAUCUAAGACUAUUCUCUAAGUACGGUUAG
rnacentral:lncRNA from 1 species